GACACCACUCGCCCGCCUCUCUUUUUUUCCUUCUGGAAGCCAAGGGUGGCGAGCGGACUCUGCGUGUUCCGGAGCUUCCGACGCCUUCAUUGCGCGUCCGGAAACCCCUCCGAGUGCACCGAAUCUCGUGAACGAAACCUCUCUUCUGCCUGCGGCCUUGGUUGCGCAGAGUUGUUGACGGCGCUCGUGCCCCUAUUCAUUUAUGGGUUCGGCGACUCUCGGCUCGAUCAAAAGCGCGGCGAAGCGUCUCUGUGGAGGGGGGGUUGGUGUUUUUCCGGCGGGSCCCUCGUGGCCGUCCCUCCGCGUUUUACUACUUUCGUUCG
rnacentral:rRNA from 1 species